rnacentral:tRNA from 1 species
UCCCUGGUGGUCCAAUGGUUAAGACUCUUCACUCCCGAUGCAGGGAGCCCUGGUUCAAUCCCUGCUCAGGGAA